rnacentral:tRNA from 1 species
GGGUCCUUAGCUCAGUUGGUUAGAGCGCCGAGCUCAUAACUCGGUGGUCCACGGUUCGAGUCCGUGAGGACCCA